rnacentral:rRNA from 1 species
UGGGGAAUUUUGGACAAUGGGCGAAAGCCUGAUCCAGCAAUGCCGCGUGUGUGAAGAAGGCCUUCGGGUUGUAAAGCACUUUUGUCCGGAAAGAAAUCCUUGGCUCUAAUACAGUCGGGGGAUGACGGUACCGGAAGAGUAAGCACCGGCUAACUACGUGCCAGCAGCCGCGGUAAUACGUAGGGUGCAAGCGUUAAUCGGAAUUACUGGGCGUAAAGCGUGCGCAGGCGGUUUGCUAAGACCGAUGUGAAAUCCCCGGGCUCAACCUGGGAACUGCAUUGGUGACUGGCAGGCUAGAGUAUGGCAGAGGGGGGUAGAAUUCCACGUGUAGCAGUGAAAUGCGUAGAGAUGUGGAGGAAUACCGAUGGCGAAGGCAGCCCCCUGGGCCAAUACUGACGCUCAUGCACGAAAGCGUGGGGAGCAAACAGGAUUAGAUACCCUGGUAGUCCACGCCCUAAACGAUGUCAACUAGUUGUUGGGGAUUCAUUUCCUUAGUAACGUAGCUAACGCGUGAAGUUGACCGCCUGGGGAGUACGGUCGCAAGAUUAAAAGCUC